GCCAAGGCAAUGAUCAAUAGCUGAUUUGAGAGGAUGAUCAGCCACAUCGGGACUGAGACACGGCCCAAACUCCUACGGGAGGCAGCAGUAGGGAAUCUUGCACAAUGGAGGAAACUCUGAUGCAGCGAUGCCGCGUGAGUGAAGAAGGCCCUUGGGUUGUAAAGCUCUUUCGUCGGGGAAGAAAAUGACUGUACCCGAAUAAGAAGGUCCGGCUAACUUCGUGCCAGCAGCCGCGGUAAUACGAAGGGACCUAGCGUAGUUCGGAAUUACUGGGCUUAAAGAGUUCGUAGGUGGUUAAAAAAGUUGGUGGUGAAAGCCCAGAGCUUAACUCUGGAACGGCCAUCAAAACUUUUUAGCUAGAGUAUGAUAGAGGAAAGCAGAAUUUCUAGUGUAGAGGUGAAAUUCGUAGAUAUUAGAAAGAAUACCAAUUGCGAAGGCAGCUUUCUGGAUCAUUACUGACACUGAGGAACGAAAGCAUGGGUAGCGAAGAGGAUUAGAUACCCUCGUAGUCCAUGCCGUAAACGAUGUGUGUUAGAUGUUGGAAAUUUAUUUUCAGUAUCGCAGCGAAAGCAAUAAACACACCGCCUGGGGAGUACGACCGCAAGGUUAAAACUCAAAUGAAUUGACGGGGACCCGCACAAGCAGUGGAGCAUGUGGUUUAAUUCGAAGAUACGCGCAGAACCUUACCAACACUUGACAUGUUCGUCGCGAGACCAAGAGAUUGGUUUCUUCAUUUAGUUGGACGAAACACAGGUGCUGCAUGGCUGUCGUCAGCUCGUGUCGUGAGAUGUUGGGUUAAGUCCCGCAACGAGCGCAACCCUCACUUUUAGUUGCCAUCAUUUAGUUGGGCACUCUGAAAGAACUGCCAGUGAUAAGCUGGAGGAAGGUGGGGAUGACGUCAAGUCCUCAUGGCCCUUACGUGUUGGGCUACACACGUGCUACAAUGGUAUUUACAACAGGAAGCAAAACGGCGACGUUAAGCAAAUCCUCAAAAGAUACCUCAGUUCGGAUUGCACUCUGCAACUCGAGUGCAUGAAGCUGGAAUUACUAGUAAUCGUGGAUCAGCGUGCCACGGUGAAUGCGUUCCCGGGUCUUGUACACACCGCCCGUCACACCAUGGGAGUUGGUUCUACCUUAAGGCAAGGUUUUAAACCCUUGACCACGGUAUAGUCAGCGACUGGGGUGAAGUCGUAACAAGGUAACC
rnacentral:rRNA from 1 species